rnacentral:rRNA from 1 species
GACGAACGCUGGCGGCGUGCUUAAUACAUGCAAGUCGAACGAACCGCGACUGCGUUCUUGCACUUGGCCAAUGUCGGUGGCGAACGGGUGAGUAAAACGAGGGUAACCUACCUCAUAGUUGGCGAUAACAGACGGAAACUAAUGCUAAUACCGCACACGACCUAGGUUCACAUGAUUCGGUGAGGACAGGUGGCGCAAGCUAACGCUCAGCGAUGGACCCUCGGGGCAUGAGCUGGUUGGAAGGGUGAAGUCCUAGCAAGGCGAUGAUGCAUAGUCGACCUGAGUGGGUGGUAGGCCACAUGGGGACUGAAACGCGGACCAUGCGCCUAAGGGAGGCAGCAGUAUGGAAUCUGCCGCAGUAGAGGGAAGUCUGACGGAACGACGGCGCGUGAGUGAAGAAGGUCUUCGGAGCGGAAAGCUCUGUUGUUAGAGAAGAACAGCGCAUAGAGUAGCUGCAAUGCGUGUGACGGUAACUAGCCAGAAAGCCACGGCUAACUACGUG